AUAAGCAUUGUUUCAUUUAAAUUUUAACAUAAAAGCCAUAGGAGGAUUCGAACUCAAGACCUUUACUAGCAAUGAGCAAACUCGAUAACAAGUAUGCUACCACAAUUUUUUUUUCUACACUCUAACACACACACACACAUAUACAUAACCAAACAAUGGUUAUGAGUUCGAAUUAAAGAUGGUGUCGAGCAAUCUUCGGUCUUAAGCAUUAAAGUCUUCCAAACUUAAGCAUCAGCUAGAAGGACUUGGGAGGCUAAUUACUGGUGUCGGAUCCCGAACUCCCAGUUCGGACCUCAAGCCACGUGGUUGCAAAAUCAACUAAACUUUCGUCAAUAGUCAAACUCCGAGCCGAAGCGCCAGUUCUAUUCCGAGCGAACCAAAGAACUCAGAGAAUAUCAGCAAAGAGAAGGGAAAGUUAGGAAUUGGGCAAUGGGCCAAACACUCAAAGGCCUAGUAAAAGCUAAGAGGAAUUCAAACCAUGGACAUUAUAAUAUUUAUGAUGGAAUCAAAACGGACACAUUAAUG
rnacentral:lncRNA from 1 species